GGUAAAGUGGCUGAGGUAUGAGGCAGUAAAUUGUAAAUUUAUUAACGAGUGAAUUCUCUUUUAUCA
rnacentral:tRNA from 1 species